GCUCUCGUAUUUCAAUGGAUAGAAUGCUGGCCUCCGAAGCCGGCGAUUUGGGUUCGACUCCCAACGGGGGCACCA
rnacentral:tRNA from 1 species